GAGUUUGAUCGUGGCUCAGAUUGAACGCUGGCGGCAGGCCUAACACAUGCAAGUCGAGCGGAUGAAGGGAGCUUGCUCCUGGAUUCAGCGGCGGACGGGUGAGUAAUGCCUAGGAAUCUGCCUGGGUAGUGGGGGAUAACGUCCGGAAACGGGCGCUAAUACCGCAUACGUCCUGAGGGAGAAAGUGGGGGAUCUUCGGACCUCACGCUAUCAGAUGAGCCUAGGUCGGAUUAGCUAGUUGGUGGGGUAAAGGCCUACCAAGGCGACGAUCCGUAACUGGUCUGAGAGGAUGAUCAGUCACACUGGAACUGAGACACGGUCCAGACUCCUACGGGAGGCAGCAGUGGGGAAUAUUGGACAAUGGGCGAAAGCCUGAUCCAGCCAUGCCGCGUGUGUGAAGAAGGUCUUCGGAUUGUAAAGCACUUUAAGUUGGGAGGAAGGGCAGUAAGUUAAUACCUUGCUGUUUUGACGUUACCAACAGAAUAAGCACCGGCUAAC
rnacentral:rRNA from 1 species